rnacentral:rRNA from 1 species
UAGGGAAUCUUCCACAAUGGACGCAAGUCUGAUGGAGCAACGCCGCGUGAGUGAAGAAGGUUUUCGGACCGUAAAGCUCUGUUGUUGGUGAAGAAGGAUAGAGGUAGUAACUGGCCUUUAUUUGACGGUAAUCAACCAGAAAGUCACGGCUAACUACGUGCCAGCAGCCGCGGUAAAUCGUAGGUGGCAAGCGUUGUCCGGAUUUAUUGGGCGUAAAGCGAGCGCAGGCGGAAGAAUAAGUCUGAUGUGAAAGCCCUCGGCUUAACCGAGGAAUUGCAUCGGAAACUGUUUUCUUGAGUGCAGAAGAGGAGAGUAGAACUCCAUGUGUAGCGGUGGAAUGCGUAGAUAUAUGGAAGAAUACCAGUGGCGAAGGCGGCUCUCUGGUCUGCAACUGACGCUGAGGCUCGAAAGCAUGGGUAGCGAACAGGAUUAGAUACCCUGGUAGUCCAUGCCGUAAACGAUGAGUGCUAAGUGUUGGGAGGCUUCCGCCUCUCAGUGCUGCAGCUAACGCAUUAAGCACUCCG